rnacentral:rRNA from 1 species
AUUGAACGCUGGCGGCAUGCUUUACACAUGCAAGUCGAACGGUAACAGGCCGCAAGGUGCUGACGAGUGGCGAACGGGUGAGUAAUGCAUCGGAACGUGCCCAGUCGUGGGGGAUAACGCAGCGAAAGCUGCGCUAAUACCGCAUACGAUCUCUGGAUGAAAGCGGGGGACCGAAAGGCCUCGCGCGAUUGGAGCGGCCGAUGUCAGAUUAGGUAGGUGGUGGGGUAAAGGCCCACCAAGCCAACGAUGUGUAGCUGGUCUGAGAGGACGACCAGCCACACUGGGACUAAGACACGGCCCAGACUCCUACAGGAGGCAGCAGUGGGGAAUUUUGGACAAUGGGCGCAAGCCUGAUCCAGCAAUGCCGCGUGCAGGAAGAAGGCCUUAUGGUUGUAAAGCACUUUAAGCGAGGAGGAAGGGUGGUGUGUUAAUAGCACAUCAUUUUGACGUUACUCGCAGAAGAAGCACCGGCUAACUCUGUGCCAGCCGCCGCCGUAAUAC